GAUGAACGCUGGCGGCGUGCCUAAUACAUGCAAGUCGAGCGAACAGACGAGGAGCUUGCUCCUCUGACGUUAGCGGCGGACGGGUGAGUAACACGUGGAUAACCUACCUAUAAGACUGGGAUAACUUCGGGAAACCGGAGCUAAUACCGGAUAAUAUAUUGAACCGCAUGGUUCAAUAGUGAAAGACGGUUUUGCUGUCACUUAUAGAUGGAUCCGCGCCGCAUUAGCUAGUUGGUAAGGUAACGGCUUACCAAGGCAACGAUGCGUAGCCGACCUGAGAGGGUGCUCGGCCACAUUGGAGCGGAUACCCGGUCCAGACCCCUACGGGAGGCAGCAGUAGGGGAUCUUCCGCACUGGGCGAAAGUAUGACGGAGCAACGCCGCGUGAGUGAUGAAGGUCUUCGGAUCGUAAAACUCUGCUAUUAGGGAAGAACAAAUGUGUAAGUAGCCAUGCACUCCUUGACGGUUGCGAAUAAGAAAGCCACGGCUAACUACGGG
rnacentral:rRNA from 1 species